GACGAACGCUGGCGGCGUGCUUAACACAUGCAAGUCGAACGGAAAGGCCCCGCUUUUGUGGGGUGCUCGAGUGGCGAACGGGUGAGUAACACGUGAGUAACCUGCCCUUGACUUUGGGAUAACUUCAGGAAACUGGGGCUAAUACCGGAUAGGAGCUCCUGCUGCGUGGUGGGGGUUGGAAAGUUUCGGCGGUUGGGGCUGGACUCGCGGCUUAUCAGCUUGUUGGUGGGGUAGGGGCUUACCAAGGCUUUGACGGGUAGCCGGCCUGAGAGGGUGACCGGCCACAUUGGGACUGAGAUACGGCCCAGACUCCUACGGGAGGCAGCAGUGGGGAAUAUUGCACAAUGGGCGGAAGCCUGAUGCAGCAACGCCGCGUGCGGGAUGACGGCCUUCGGGUUGUAAACCGCUUUCGCCUGUGACGAAGCGUGAGUGACGGUAAUGGGUAAAGAAGCACCGGCUAACUACGUG
rnacentral:rRNA from 1 species